AGUGAACGCUGGCGGUAGGCCUAACACAUGCAAGUCGAACGGCAGCACAGUAAGAGCUUGCUCUUACGGGUGGCGAGUGGCGGACGGGUGAGGAAUACAUCGGAAUCUACUUUUUCGUGGGGGUUAACGUAGGGAAACUUACGCUAAUACCGCAUACGACCUACGGGUGAAAGCAGGGGAUCUUCGGACCUUGCGCGAUUGAAUGAGCCGAUGUCGGAUUAGCUAGUUGGCGGGGUAAAGGCCCACCAAGGCGACGAUCCGUAGCUGGUCUGAGAGGAUGAUUAGCCACACUGGAACUGUGACACGGUCCAGACUCCUACGGGAGGCAGCAGUGGGGAAUAUUGGACAAUGGGCGCAAGCCUGAUCCAGCCAUACCGCGUGGGUGAAGAAGGCCUUCGGGUUGGAAAGCCCUUUUGUUUGGAAAGAAAAGCAGCAGGUUAAUACCCCGCUGUUCUGACGGUACCCAAAGAAUAAGCACCGGCUAACUUCGUG
rnacentral:rRNA from 1 species